AACGUAGGACGCAAGCGUUAUCCGGAAUUACUGGGCGUAAAGCGCGUGUAGGCGGGUCUGUAAGUUUGUCGUCAAAGCUCCCGGCUAAACUGGGAGAGGUCGAUGGAAACUACAGGUCUGGAGUUUGGCAGAGGAAUGUGGAAUUCCGCGUGUAGUGGUAAAAUGCGUAGAGAUGCGGGGGAACACCAGUGGCGAAGGCGGCAUUCUGGGCCACAACUGACGCUGAGACGCGAAAGCAUGGGUAGCGAACGGG
rnacentral:rRNA from 1 species